rnacentral:rRNA from 1 species
AACGCUGGCGGCGUGCCUAACACAUGCAAGUCGAACGGAGAUAAGACGCUGACGAGACUCGGUCAAAUCUGUUUAUCUAGUGGCGGACGGGUGAGUAACGCGUGGGCAACCUGCCUCAUACUGGGGGAUAGCAGUUGGAAACGACUGAUAAUACCGCAUAAGCGCACGGAGUCGCAUGACUCAGUGUGAAAAACUCCGGUGGUAUGAGAUGGGCCCGCGUCAGAUUAGCCAGUUGGCAGGGUAACGGCCUACCAAAGCGACGAUCUGUAGCCGGCCUGAGAGGGCGGACGGCCACAUUGGGACUGAGACACGGCCCAAACUCCUACGGGAGGCAGCAGUGGGGGAUAUUGCACAAUGGAGGAAACUCUGAUGCAGCGACGCCGCGUGAGUGAAAGAAGUAUUUCGGUAUGUAAAGCUCUAUCAGCAGGGAAGAAAGGCUCCGCAAGGAGAGAUGACGGUACCUGACUAAGAAGCCCCGGCUAACUACGUGCCAGCAGCUGC